GGAAGUGUCUACAGUCACUCUCUGGAGAAGGGAGGUUGUGUUUAGGGCUAUAGCGGACCGGCCUUAAGAAACUGUAAGAAUUCAGACAGACAAAGAAGGAGCUGAAGCACAGACAGCUGGCUUAGGCAAUUCACUGCAAGACUCAAAGAAGAAAAUAAAAAAAGACCAGACAUAACAUUUCUAUGAAGGGGAAAGCGGAACAUGCUCCUCAUUCCAGCUGAGGCUCCAUCUUGAGUUGCUGCACAGCCCUACCCCAGCAGAGACAUAGGCAAACUUCUUCCAUUUAAAGGUUGAGUUCCCCUGAUCAGACUACAUCUCCCAUGAGGCACCACAGUCUCUUGGCAAGGGGAAGAAGCAUGAGUUACAACACUAUGAGAAGGUUUAGAAGCAACGGCACCAGAUGGAGAAAUAGGUUAAUAGGAAAAUGAUGCACUUGAAGAAAAGAUGACUUCAAAUAUGGAUUUGCUCAAGAUG